rnacentral:rRNA from 1 species
GCAAGCUACUAAGGGCGCACGGUGGAUGCCUAGGAGCAAGGAGCCGAUGAAGGGCGUGGCAAGCUGCGAUAAGCCACGGGGAGCCGCAAGCAGGCGUUGAUCCGUGGAUUCCCGAAUGGGGAAACCCGGCCACCGCAAGGGUGGUCACCCACCGCUGAACCCAUAGGCGGUGUGGAGGGAACCUGGGGAACUGAAACAUCUCAGUACCCAGAGGAAAAGAAACCGAAUGGGAUUCCCUCAGUAGUGGCGAGCGAACGGGGAACAGCCUAAACCAGUCGGGCGUGCCCGAUUGGGGUCGUGGGACCGACACAAGGGAGCGUCUUCCGCUUAGCAGAAGCUGCCUGGAACGGCACGCCAUAGAGGGUGAGAGCCCCGUAUGCGAAAAGUGGAGCGCCCCGUCGGGAUCCCGAGUAGCACGGGAUAAGUGGAACCCUGUGCGAAUCUGCCCGGACCACCGGGUAAGGCUAAAUACUCCUUGCUACCGAUAGCGCAACCAGUACCGUGAGGGAAAGGUGAAAAGCACCCCGGCGAGGGGAGUGAAAGAGAACCUGAAACCGUGCGCUUACAAGCAGUCGGAGGGCUAUGCCCCGCAAGGGGAACAGCCUGACGGCGUGCCUUUUGCAGAAUGAGCCGGCGAGUUACGCUUUGUGGCAAGGUUAAGCGCCUCAGGCGCGGAGCCGCAGCGAAAGCGAGUCCUCACAGGGCGACUCAGUCACAAGGCGUAGACCCGAAACCGCGCGAUCUACCCCUGGUCAGGCUGAAGCCGUGGUAACACACGGUGGAGGGCCGAACCGGUGUCCGUUGAAAAGGGCUCGGAUGAACUGGGGGUAGUGUGGUGAAAUGCCAAUCGAGCGCGGAGAUAGCUGGUUCUCCCCGAAAUGCAUUGAGGUGCAGCGUCACGGGCUAUGCUAUGCAGGUAGAGCCACUGGAUGGGCUAGGGGCCCCACCAGGUUACCGAACCCAACCAAACUCCGAAUGGCAUAGCAGGAACCGUGGCAGUGAGACAGCGACGGAUGAGCGCCGUUGUCAAAAGGGAAACAGCCCAGACCGCCCGCUAAGGUCCCUAAGCACAGGCUAAGUGUGAAAGGAUGUAGGCUCGCGUAGACAACCAGGAGGUUGGCUUAGAAGCAGCCAUCCUUUAAACAGUGCGUAACAGCUGACUGGUCGAAUGUGAGCCUGCGCCGACAAUGUAAGGGGGCUUAAGCCUGUCACCGAAGCGGCGGGUUCCCAGCAAUGGGAGCGGUAGGGGAGCGUUCUGCACGCAGUGAAGGUGGAGCGUGAGCACCGCUGGAGCGUGCAGAAGUGAGAAUGCCGGCACGAGUAGCGAGAAGACGGGUGAGAAUCCCGUCCGCCGAAAGCCUAAGGGUUCUUCAGGCAGGUUCGUCCGCUGAAGGUUAGGCGGUCCUAAGCCGAGGGCGAAACGCCGUAGGCGAAGGGCAGUGGGUCAACAUUCCCACCCCAGGGCGUGGAGCGAGAACGGGGACGCUUGAGAAUCGGUCGGGCGCAGGGUUGUAAGGCUGCGCGCGCCCCAGCGGCAACUCUGGGGCGCCGAAGGGAUCCCUCGUGGUGAACGAAGCGACCGUGACUCAAGCCGAGAAAAGCCGUUCCGCGUUGAAACGUCCUGACCGUACCGCAAACCGACACAGGUAGGCGAGGCGAGGAGCCUCAGGCGCGCGAGAGAAGUCCCGCUAAGGAACUCGGCAAAUUGACCCCGUAACUUCGGGAGAAGGGGUGCCUCCGCAAGGAGGUCGCAGCAAAGAGGGCCCGGCGACUGUUUACCAAAAACACAGCUCUCUGCGAAGGGGUAACCCGACGUAUAGGGGGCGACGCUUGGCCAAUGCCCGUAGGUUAAGGGGAGGGGUCAGCCGCAAGGUGCAGCCCCAAACUGAAGCCCGGGUGAAUGCCGGCCGUAACUCUAACGGUUCGUCACAGGGCCGUUGUAAAAUCUGGCUAUAUGCUGGAACAGCUCGUGUAUCCCACGCUACCGAGGAGGUGAAAACGCGAUGGGUGGAGCCAAUCAGCAGGAAAGACUCGCCCACACCGAAGCCGCCAAAUGGUUCCUCGCGGGGUUCAUCGAAGGUGAAGGCUCCCUGCUUGUCAGCAUCAAACACCACGAAACCAGCCGAUACGGCUACUAUGUGGACCCAGAGUUCCACCUUGUCCAACACACGAGUGGACGCAAUAUCCUGGAGCUGGCAAAGCAGGUCUUCCAAACAGGGCGCAUCUACCCCAAACCCGGCAGCCCAAACUGCCUCGUCUACGCCAUUCACUGCCGGCGUAGCCUCUGGGAAAAACUGGUGCCCUUCUACGAAAAGUAUGUCCUUCCCUUCGCCUCCCCGAACAAACGCGAAACCUUUCUGCGGUUUCGCGAAAUCCUGGAGAUGAUGAACCGCGGGGAACAUCGGACCCCUGACGGACUGGCACGCAUCGUCGAGAAGGCGUAUGCGAUGAACCCAGCCGCGAAGGGGAAGCAGCGCCUCAGACCGCUGCACGAGGUGUUGGCGAGAAUCCUCAGAGACCAUACGCCAGACACUCCGCCAAACGCGGAGUGAAGAUAUGGUCCAGUCCCUAUGGCGACAUAGGGGGCAACUGCCUAUGGUAGCGAAAUUCCUUGUCGCGUAAAUUGCGACCCGCACGAAAAGCGUAACGACUGGGCCACUGUCUCAGCGGGACACUCGGUGAAACUGUAGUACCCGUGAAGAUGCGGGUUACCUGCGGUAGGACGGAAAGACCCUAUGGAGCUUUACU